rnacentral:rRNA from 1 species
AUUGAACGCUGGCGGCAGGCCUAACACAUGCAAGUCGAGCGGAGCGGCGGACGGGUGAGUAAUGCCUAGGAAUCUGCCUGGUAGUGGGGGAUAACGUCCGGAAACGGGAGAUAAUACCGCAUACUAUCAGAUGAGCCUAGGUCGGAUUAGCCAGUUGGUGGGGUAAAGGCCUACAAAGGCGACGAUCCGUAACUGGUCUGAGAGGAGGAUCAGUCACACUGGAACUGGGACCCGGUCCAGACUCCUACGGGAGGCAGCAGUGGGGAAUAUUGGACAAUGGGCGAAAGCCUGAGCCAGCCAUGCCGCGUGUGGGAAGAAGGGCUUCGGAUUGUAAAGCCCUUUAAGUUGGGAGGCGUUACCAACAGAAUAAGCACCGGCUAUCUUCGUGCCAGCAGCCGCGGUAAUUC